GACGUAGGGGGCGAGCGUUGUCCGGAUUCAUUGGGCGUAAAGCGCGCGUAGGCGGCCCGGUAAGUCGGAUGUGAAAUCUCACGGCUCAACCGUGGAACUGCAUUCGAAACUGUCGGGCUAGAGGCAGGUAGGGGAGAUCGGAAUUCCCGGUGUAGCGGUGAAAUGCGCAGAUAUCGGGAGGAACACCGGUGGCGAAGGCGGAUCUCUGGGCCGAUACUGACGCUGAGAAGCGAAAGCGUGGGGAGCGAACAGG
rnacentral:rRNA from 1 species